rnacentral:lncRNA from 1 species
CCCUGGGAUUAUUUGGGGGGUGGUGAUGGCUCAAAUUGGGGGGCAAAGGGCAGGGUGAAUGGAGCCAAUGGCUUGGCUCCCUCUGCCCCCCAAAGCCAAGAUGGGGGGAGGGCAGCAGACCCAGGGGAUCUCCCCACCAAGCCUGAGGUCCCCCCCAUCAGGAGAAAGUUUUGCAUUGAGACGCUUCCAAAAAACAACAACAGCAACAAAACCCUGACCCUCCCCACCCCAACCUGCUCCCCCCCCAACACGAAAAUACCCUGGGGUGAGGAGGGGAGGAAGAGGAAACAUUAGCCCUUGAUUCGAGUUCAGCGGGGGUGGGGGGGAUGUCUGAGGAGGGAGAUGGGAAGGAAUGGGGGGUAGAGGGGGUCCCCCACAGAUCGCAGGAACACAAUGUAGUGUGGAGGCAGGGGUGGGGGGACGGAGGAAUGGCUUGUGCUGCCGUCGCCAGUGUUGGGGGGCAGAAAUCCCCCGAGCUUCUCCCCCGAACCCUCCACACCCUGCCUCGGCGGACGCUCGGGCCCCUGACUGCUGCUUCAGCGGAGUCCAGCCCCCAAGAGGAGUCCUGCUCUGCCUGAGCCGGCGUGGGGCCAGGGUGAGGGUGCUGUGCCCCCGGUGGGCAGUAGGGGACAGAUUGGGGCAUCCAACACUGUGGCUAUUCCUUGCCCUCCAGGGCCCAUGGGGGCAGAUCGGGGGCAUGGCUGGGGUGCCCUGAGUUGUGGCUAUUCCCUGCCCCCUGGGACCCAUAGGGGCAGAUGUGGGUCAGUGCCGGGGCGUCCUGAGCCAUGGCUAUUCCAUGCCCUAUGGCACCAGUGAAGUCAAGGGGGCAGAGCCCAGCUGACCUCACCCAAAGAUCCUGAGAAGGGGGGAGGAAUUGAGCUUGGGGAGGGGAAGGUUGGAGGCUGGGGCUCCCCAUCCGGAGAGGAAAGAUUAGAGCUUUGCCACCCCUGGAUGGUCAGGCAGGGAGAGAGAAAAUUGCCCCUCGAAAGGGGACCCUAAAAAAUCAAAUCCUAACCCCCCCCACCGCCAGGCAUGUCCUGCAGCCUGACCCUUAAAGGGAGUGGCCUUUUCAGGUGGCAGGGGUGGUGUUUUGAAAGGGGGGGCGGGGAGGGGAGCCAGAGAGACUGGCUCGAAGGACAAUGGGAGUUAAAGGCAAUGCUUUUUUUCCACAUGAUGUGGAUCGAGCCUGGGGAACUCACCACCACAGGGAGUCAUUGAGACCAAGAAUUCAGGGCGGUUCAAAAGGGGAGUGGACAGGUCCAGCCUGCGUUAAGCCGGGGGCCAGACUAGGCGAUCUCAGCGCUCCCAGCAGGCCCCAGAAUCUAUGGAGAACAGGACUAUCCGGCGGGAUCGUAACAUGGGAAGGGAUAUCAAACUGGUUUUAGGGGGAAUGGAACUCAGGAGUCCUG